CAGAGUAUGUUGCUAGAGAAGGGCCAAUCUUUCACAAAACUACAAAUCCCCCAAUCCCAUAGCAUGAAGCCAUGGCAGUUAAUGUGAUCUCAAACUGCUAUGAUUCUGUAGUGUGGAUAAAGCCUUAGAAGGUUUGUUCUUCUUCUUCCUUUUACCUGGAAUGAAAGCAACUGAAACAGUCAGAGUCACAUCUCUCUGUUCCUGUCUCUAAAUGAUUGUGCAGAAGGUCUUCAGAAGAAACCUGCACAUGGUGAACUUUACUGCAUAAAAAGAAUGUGAAGCCUUGUACAGAUUGACACCUCCAAGCUUUCCACACAUUCCGCCCUUCCAUUUGCCACAACAAUGAGGCAAUUUGACUUCUUGGCAACAUGAUUGAAGAAUGCAGAACCCAGAUCUAGCAGCAGAAGCAGCUACAAUCAGGAGUCACAAAUGAUCCAUGGACAUUCCUUGGGAUCACCACAAACAAGCUUUCUAAUGUAUCAUUUUGCAACCAUAGAAUCACUGAGUAGGGAUGGACCCCAAAGAAAAACAUCCAAAGCUCAAGCAUGCCUAAGAGACAACCUCCAAGGAAGGAGGACCUGUCAUCUUCUAAGAUGCCUGCCCUACAUGGAAAGAGACCAAUAACAGUGUGACAAGUCCAUCCUUUCCCAAGUUUCAGCCUGUCCAAGAAAGCGAAGAUAUGUAAGCAGAUCGAUGGCCAUGCCUCUCCCUCCCUCCCUCUUCCGCUCUGAUUGGCUGAGAGGCAUGCCAACAUGGCUUCUCCUCUCAGAGGGGCUACAGCUGCAUCCGAAGACAUCAGAAACAAACGAAAAAAGUUCUUCUGUGUUUUCUGUAUGGUGAAAAUUCACUAAAAGCAACCAGCAACCAAAAGGAAUAAUAUCAGCCUUUGCAGGCGCAGAGAAACACUGCGAAGAUGGGAGAUGAUGGCAACAAUUCUGUCAAAACAUAAUUCAAGGGGCCAGAAAAGUAGCAGGAGAAUGACUGUCAGGAGGAGGAGGUGGACAAAAUAAAAUAAAAACCAUCCUAGUUUGCUCCUCAUGAAAGAAAACUUCAGUCUGCUUCACAUCAUCUCCUUGAGAGUAUUAAAAAGAAAAACUAGGCCAUCCUAUACAGAGUGCAUUAUCUCUGGAAAUCUUGUAUUCAGAAGAUGGGAGCAGAAAGUUCAUAAAUAACAGUGCCAAAAAAGAGAAAGGGGAGAGAAAGAGAGAGAAAAGAAAAGGAGAAGGGGGGUAGAAGGAGUGGAUGUGUAUCCAACAGCAUUUGGAUGGCAUCCAAGUCAUCAAUGCUGCUGUCAUCUUCUGCGCAUAAUCAGAAAUCCCUUUCAGUGAUGUGGGAAAAAGAUCUCUGUAUUGUCAGCUAAAAUGCCCAUUGUGAAGAAACCGUGUGCCACAGCAGCUCCGCAGAAGGUCGGGGAGGAAUGUGAACCACGGCUUUGGAGGGGACGGGCCAUGAAAAAAGAGAGGGUUGACAGGCUUCACAGAAACUCAGCAUCCUCCACAGCGGAGCUCAUCUGUAUGCCUCAAAAUGUUUUUGAAGCCUCUCUUUAUCAGUCCUCCAAACAUCUAGUGUGUGGCGCAGCUAGUUGUGCUCUCUCUCCGUCUUACACUAAUGCACUCCCUGAGCAUAUUUUGGUAUUCAUGCCAAAAUAUUCAGUGGGCUACAGAGUACGUGGCUAUUAGAAGACGUUAACUACACCAAAAUUGUUAAUUAGGUUUUUAAAAAGAGAAACAUGUGUAUUGAUUGUUUGGAGAGAUCCAUUUGGGGAUAGUUUAAGGAGGAAUGUUUAAACUUUGGACAUUAUCACUUGGGACUCCUAAAAUGGGUUCUGCCAUCACAAAUCUGUCUUGCUUAAGACUGGAGUAGGCUUACUUAGCCCCAGUUCUUAUGUCUGCUUUACAUUAGCUCUUAGUUACAUUUUACAGCAUGUUAUAAGUUAUAUUUAUAUUAUCUACAAUGAGCUACCAUAGGAUUUUUUUUUUUUUGGCCAAAAGGCAGCACAGAGACACACUAUAGAAUAACAAACAUUGUUUUCUCUGAACUGUGCAGAUGUCAAAUCUUGGAGAGCCCUCUGGUUUAAAAGUUUAAGAUAAAACUCAAGGAUCAUUUUGAAAAAUGACAACAUACACUUGCAGUGACCAUGUUCAACAAGCUUAGGCCAAAUUAAGGGGAAACAGCAGUGAGAAACAUUGAAACAUUGCCUUGUCAGACUGGAUGAGAGCGAACAAAUUGAAACUGAAUCCAGACAAGACAGAGGUCCUCCUGGUCAGUCGUAGGGCCGAACAGGGAAUAGGGUUACAGCCUGUGCUGGAUGGGGUCACACUCCCCCUGAAGACACAGGUUCGCAGUCUGGGGGUUCUCCUGGACUCAUCAUUGAGCCUGGAACCUCAGAUCUCAGCGGUGGCCAGGGGAGCACUUGCACAACUAAGACUUGUGCGCCAGCUGUACCCGUACCUUGGGAAGUCUGACUUGGCCACGGUGGUCCAUGCUCUGGUACAUCCCGUUUGGAUUACUGCAACAAGCUCUACAUGGGACUGCCUUUGAAGAUGGCCCGGAAACUCCAACUAGUACAACCGGCGUCAGUCAGAUUAAUAACUGGUGCAGCAUACAGGGAGCGUACCAUCCCCUGCUAAGCCAGCUUUACUGGCUGCCGAUAUGCUACCGAGCCCAAUUCAAAGUGCUGGUUUUGACCUAUAAAGCCCUAAAUGGUCUUGGCCCGAUUUACUUAUCCGAACGUAUCUCCUCUUAUGAGCCAUCUAGAACUCUAAGAUCAUCCGGAGAGGCCCUGCUCUCGGCCCCACCGGCCUCGCAAGCGCGUCUGGUGGGAAUGAGGGACAGGGCCUUCUCGGUGGUGGCUCCCCGGCUGUGGAACACCCUCCCUAGCAACAUCCAACAAACCUCAACUCUUCUGGGCUUUAGAAAGGCUUUAAAGACAUGGCUGUGUGCCCAAGCGUUCAAUGAAUAAUCACCUAAGUCGACAUGGUCUGAAUCAAGGUUUAAGCACGAGGUCCUGGAUGAAUGGUUUCAAUCACACAGAUGUUUUAAAUUUUAUAAUGUGUUUUAAUAGUGUUUUAUUAAUUGAUUUGUAUGUAUUGUUUUGCUUUUAAGGUAAAGGUAAAGGUUUCCCCUGACGUUAAGUCCAGUCAUGACCAACUCUGGGGGUUGGUGCUCAUCUCCAUUUCUAAGCCGAAGAGCCAGCGUUGUCCAUAGACAUCUCCAGGUCAUGUGGCCGGCAUGACUGCAUGGAGCACCAUUACCUUCCUGCCGGAGCAGUACCUAUUGAUCUACUCACAUUUGCAUGUUUUCGAACUGCUAGGUUGGCAGGAGCUGGGGCUAACAGUGGGUGCUCAUUCCACUCCCGGGAUUUGAACCGACUUUUUGGUCUGCAAGUUCAGCAGCUCAGCGCUUUAACACACUGUGCCACCAGGGGCCCCUGUUUUGCUUUUAAAGACUGUAUUUUGGGCAUUGAAUUUUGCCGAUCUUUGUAAGCUGCCCUGAGUCCCCUUGGGUGAGAAGAGUGGGAUAAAAAUGCAGGUAAAUAAAUAAAUAAAUAAUAUCCUGAUGACGACAUGCACAGGAGUAAAUAAUUGGGCCUUUUCCUCUAGUGCAGAACAACAAUAUUCAGUUUGAGAUGGAUCAAGCAGAGUUAAUGUGACGCCAUUCCACAUUGACUUGCAUUGCAUAUUGGCCAUUGAUGUAUAUGCGUAUUGCCCAUAAAGUUGCCUUAUCACUGAAACAUGUUUUGACCUGGUUCUAGGCAUGUCACCCAAUACCAGUUUGGUCUGGAUUCCAUGUGUUCUUUUUAAAAAUAAAAAAUAACAACUCACUGAUUCCUGUAGCAGCUGUCAUCUAUAGGAUGUUUUUCCUAGAUUUUGUUGCUGGUUUUGGUGGGUUUUUUAUUUUUUUUAAAAAAACAAAACAUUUGCCUGUAGAAAUACAAAAAGCGUAAUGACUGAACUGAAGAUACAAUAGCAUGUUCAGCCAUGAAUGAAAGAGAAAAUGGCAGACCACCACCUUAUAGGUUAUUGAUUCACUCAAGGGAGCAGCAGCCAUGAGUUUGCAAGGCCUGAACAAGGUUCUUGAUGACUGAGGCACUCACAUCUCUCUUAUUCAUAGAACAACUUCAGGUGGAGCACAAUGGGUAACUCCACAUCAAAACACAGACCUUAACUUCUUGCCUGUAUCAAAGUAGAAAAUCACGGUCAAAAGUAGUAAGUGUGUCAGCCACUCGGAAAACAGCACUGACUAAUUUGGAAGUCUAUGACGUUGCAUUUCUUGAGAUACCAGCUAGCUGCCUACUCCAUGUGAAUGGUGUGAAACCAUUAACUGUUAUUUCAGUAGUUGAUGGAUCUAACACUUCUUCUUUUCACUCAGCCUGUAAUCUCCCUCUUGUAGCUACAAAGACACAAUGGUUAAUGAAACAGACUACAUUUUUGGAUGCUUUGAUUUGUUCUUCAUCUCCUCGUUUUUCUAUCACCAUGCCUGGAGAAUGUAAAUGACACUUCAUAUCACUUAGGCACCAGUUUUGGAAAAUCUUUUCUAUUAUGUCUAAUACAGAAGUUAUAGACUAGAAUCCUGUUGGUAUCAUGAACAUGUGCAAGACUUCUUCAAUAUGCAAUUGUACAUUUUUUGGAUAUUGGGCAAUAGCUGUAUUUGGUUUAUGGUUUAAUAAGUGAGAUUCUAUAUAUGCAACUUAUUUAUAUGGACCUUCAUCCUAUUGUAGUCCUGACUAGAACCGCUGAAUAAAUUGGAUUUUCUUAUGUGUUCA